GACGAACGCUGGCGGCGUGCUUAACACAUGCAAGUCGAACGGAAAGGCCCUGCUUUUGUGGGGUGCUCGAGUGGCGAACGGGUGAGUAACACGUGAGUAACCUGCCCUUGACUUUGGGAUAACUUCAGGAAACUGUGGCUAAUACCGGAUAGGAGCUCCUGCUGCAUGGUGGGGGUUGGAAAGUUUCGGCGGUUGGGGAUGGACUCGCGGCUUAUCAGCUUGUUGGUGGGGUAGUGGCUUACCAAGGCUUUGACGGGUAGCCGGCCUGAGAGGGUGACCGGCAACAUUGGGACUGAGAUACGGCCCAGACUCCUACGGGAGGCAGCAGUGGGGAAUAUUGCACAAUGGGCGGAAGCCUGAUGCAGAAACGCCGCGUGCGGGAUGAUGGCCUUCGGGUUGUAAACCGCUUUCGCCUGUGACGAAGCGUGAGUGACGGUAAUGGGUAAAGAAGCACCGGCUAACUACGUG
rnacentral:rRNA from 1 species